ACGGAGAGCGGCCGGGAGCGCGCUGUGGACUCCGCGGCCGCGAGUAGUUAGUUAGUUGUGUCAGUUGCUCUGUGGAGGCGUCCGCGAUCACCAGAAAGGGGACGGGACAGGCGGCACUGGUGAAGAUCGCGACGGCGUGUGCUCCCCUCAGGUGUCUGUCCAACCAAAGACUUGUGCUCUAGAAGUUUCUUGGUGGUUUGCCUAGAAAACCUAAGUAAACAUUGGCACCUUCAGAAUACAGGAAUGAGAGGCAAGGAAGAAAGGACAUUCAUCAUAAGAAGAUUUGAAUCGCUUUGAAACUGUAAAGGGAUGUAGCACCUGCUGCCAGGCUACCUUGGUCACCAGAAUGAACGAAGUGCUUCAGCGU